rnacentral:rRNA from 1 species
AACGAACGCUGGCGGCAUGCCUAACACAUGCAAGUCGAACGAGGCCUUCGGGUCUAGUGGCGCACGGGUGCGUAACGCGUGGGAACCUGCCCUUAGGUUCGGAAUAACUCCCCGAAAGGGGUGCUAAUACCGGAUAAUGUCUUCGGACCAAAGAUUUAUCGCCUUUGGAUGGGCCCGCGUUGGAUUAGCUAGUUGGUAGGGUAAAAGCCUACCAAGGCGACGAUCCAUAGCUGGUCUGAGAGGAUGAUCAGCCACACUGGGACUGAGACACGGCCCAGACUACUACGGGAGGCAGCAGUGGGGGAUAUUGGACUAUGGGCGAAAGCCUGAUCCAGCAAUGCCGCGUGAGUGAUGAAGGCCUUAGGGUUGUAAAGCUCUUUUACCCGGGAUGAUAAUGACAGUACCGGGAGAAUAAGCUCCGGCUAACUCCGUG